rnacentral:rRNA from 1 species
GAAUCUUCGGCAAUGGGCGCAAGCCUGACCGAGCGACGCCGCGUGGUGGAAGAAGGCCUUCGGGUUGUAAACACCUGUUGGGGGGGAACAAAUCAUGAGUGAACCCCUGAGGAAGCACGGACUAAGUUCGUGCCAGCCGCCGCGGUAAGACGAACCGUGCGAACGUUAUUCGGAAGCAUUGGGCUUAAAGAGCGCGUAGGCGGCGCUGCAAGUCGAAGGUGAAAUCCCACCGGCUCAACCGUGGAAUCGCCUGCGAAACUGCAGCGCUUGAGGGAGCUAGGGGCAUGUGGAACUUCCGGUGGAGCGGUGAAAUGUGUUGAUAUCGGAGGGAACGCCAGUGGCGAAAGCGGCAUGCUGGAUCUCAACUGACGCUGAGGCGCGAAAGCUAGGGUAGCGAACGGG